UUGCACAAUGGGCGCAAGCCUGAUGCAGCGACGCCGCGUGGGGGAUGACGGCCUUCGGGUUGUAAACCUCUUUMAGUAUCGGCGAASUCCCGGUUUUUAUCGGGGGUGACGGUAGGUACAGAAGAAGCACCGGCCAACUACGUGCCAGCAGCCGCGGUAAUACGUAGGGUGCGAGCMUUGUCCGGMAUUACUGGGCGUAAAGAGCUCGUAGGUGGUUUGUCGCGUUGUUCGUGAAAACUCACAGCUUAACUGUGGGCGUGCGGGCGAUACGGGCAGACUGGAGUACUGUAGGGGAGACUGGAAUUCCUGGUGUAGCGGUGGAAUGCGCAGAUAUCAGGAGGAACACCGGUGGCGAAGGCGGGUCUCUGGGCAGUAACUGACGCUGAGGAGCGAAAGCRUGGGGAGCGAACAGGAUUAGAUACCCUGGUAGUCCACGCCGUAAACGGUGGGUACUAGGUGUGGGUUUUCCUUCCUUUAGGGAUCCGUGCCGUAGCUAACGCACUAAGUACCCCGCCUGGGAGUACGGCCGCAAGGCUAAAACUCAAAGGAAUUGACGGGGGCCCGCACAAGCGGCGGAGCAUGUGGAUUAAUUCGAUGCAACGCGAAGAACCUUACCUGGGUUUGACAUGCACAGGACGACUGCAGAGAUGUGGUUUCCCUUGUGGCCUGUGUGCAGGUGGUGCAUGGCUGUCGUCAGCUCGUGUCGUAAGAUGUUGGGUUAAGUCCCGCAACGAGCGCAACCCUUGUUCCAUGUUGCCAGCACGUGAUGGUGGGGABUCAUGGGAGACUGCCGGGGUCAAYUCGGAGGAAGGUGGGGAUGACGUCAAGUCAUCAUGCCCCUUAUGUCCAGGGCUUCACACAUGCUACAAUGGCCGGUACAAAGGGCUGCGAUGCCGUGAGGUUUAGCGAAUCCUUUAAAGCCGGUCUCAGUUCGGAUCGGGGUCUGCAACUCGACCCCGUGAAGUCGGAGUCGCU
rnacentral:rRNA from 1 species